UAGAACGUGCAAGGAGUUUUUUGAUCAAGUCUACUUUACUGGAAAACUGAUACCGGACUGCGAAAAAAUAUUUAAGUUUCAUGAGCUAGAACAUGGUUAUUGCUUUCUUGCAAACAACUAUAUGGACUAUGACAGUGCAGAACAAAUGCCCUUGCAGUAUUCUUCGUCGGAAAAAAACCCGGUUCUACGACUGGUCCUUCGACCCCCCCCAAUAUAUAAUUAUGAAUAUUAUGUUCAAAGCAAUGAGGAUUUGCCGAAUUUUAAUAGUUCAGGUUAUUCGAUUUCA